AUGUCUAUUCAAAUAGAAAUUCUAAUCCAUCUAUUCCAUAAUAUCGACUCUUUGGGUAAAGGCAGUCAGGCAAGCUAUAUAUUUUCUGCAUAUCACUUGGGCUGACAAUCUGCAGUGAGGUUACAAGAACACAGGAACUCAAACUGAUUUUUCUGACAAGCCUCCAGUUGGGUCCAAAGUCCCAGAUCCUUUCAAGAUAAUCUAUUUGGCUCUAAUGAUAUGUUGAACCAAACACCAUUCUGAAAUUAAGAGAACUGACAUUGAAGGACCAAGAAAUAUGUUUUAUUUCAACUUAAGUACUCGGAACACUUCUCAUACCACUUGGUU
rnacentral:lncRNA from 10 species